rnacentral:lncRNA from 1 species
UGACAGCAAAGAAGCCAAAAAGGCCCAAGUCCACAAGACAGAAAGAAUAGGUGAAAAGUCCAUGUCAUCUCAUUUUUGGAGAUGGACAUGGACAGGGGCUGAAACUGCAGUACCAGCAGAUGGGGAGCUUAAGAAGGAAGCUAGUUCAUGGCACAGCACCCGUAAAGUCCCCAGAAUUGGAGGCACCAGAUUCUUCUGAAAGAAAAGGAGCAAUUCAGCACUUGUCAUGCAGAUAAGAGGUCAACACCCCAGGACGGAGUGAAAACCUAAGGGUCAUCAAGACAGGAGGAUAUGAGGCAGAAUCACCACACAAGCUAACCUGAUGUACAUAUGACAUUAAUCCAAUAGACUUAGGAAUAAGAUACAGGGGGUUUUCCUGAAUGAUUCGAGUAUAUCCCCAUUCAUAUUAAGAAAACAAAGUAUUGGCCAAGCGUGGUGGCUCACGCCUGUAAUCCCGGCACUUUGGAAGGCCGAGGCCAGUGGAUCACCUGAGAUGGACUCAACGACUCUCUUACCGUCCAGCUCUCAAGUCCCUUCUCUUGUGAAAAUGGAAAAGUUGAACUACAGUUGAGAUAUUAUUCCCAGGUGUUCUUUGGAACACAGGGGAUUUCUCCAAAAGGCACAGAACAAAUUGCCUCCAAACAGCCAAGAUUCCAGCAGAAGCUGGAGUAGCAGACUACUUGGAUCUUCAAAGUACCUGGCCCUGAGUCAGUUAAGGAAGAUCUUUUCUUCUCUUUUGUACAAUCCUAUGAUGAGAGCUGCAAAGUGAACUGACUAAGAGCUUCUGCCUUGAUCAUUGACCUCCCAAUCCUAAUAAUAUGUUCACUGGCCAAACUUCCUAAUCGAUUUGUCUUUUGGAUAUAACGUUCCUCCUACUGUUUGCCUGAUUGAGAAAUCUGCUACAGAACAUGACCGGUUAGCAUUCCCACCAACCCCAGUGCUACACUGACUGUCUUUCGAUGGACUUUGCUCCUUGCUGCCUCUCUGAGGUCCCAGACCUUCAGAGUGACCUUCACAGCUCUGCCUAACUUUCUGUCAUACUUCUAUCAAGAGAGACAGCUAAAUCAAUAUUUUUAAUGUGCUUUGCUGUCGGAAUUCGAUGAUCUGUCACAGUUCUUGCCCAAUACACCCCAUCAUUAUUGUUAAAAUGUUUUUAGCUUUGUUUGUAGAAUUGCUUUAACUGGUUUCAUCUCUGGGAGCUACACUUUGAAAUAUAACUUUAGCAACAUUUUACUAUACUUUUUCACAACCCAGAGCAGUACUAUUUUAUGCUUAGUGGUUAAACUAAUUCCAUAAAUCUUUUGCAACUAUCCUCUAUUCUUUUUCUUGUAAUUUUUACCUGGGAAGGUUUUUACUGAUAAUCAUCCUAUCCUGAGUCAUCCCACAAACCAAUCUGUCUCACUAAUCAUUGCUUCUAACCUACAGACUAAGCAUAACUUCUGCUAAAUGAUCUUUGAUAAGAUGCUAUGACUCUAUAAAGUCUUUGAUAUUCAUGUCUAAAUUUAAUCACUUGUAGAUUUUCAUAGAAUCAAUCUUUCACUUCUACAAUUGGGAGUAUUUAUAAGUUGUUUAUCUUAAACAGUUCCUCUAUCACGCUUUUCACGUUAAAUAAAGCAAUCCCUUCAAAUCAAUUUUCUGUCAUGUCUAAGAUGUUAUUAUUUCA